rnacentral:rRNA from 1 species
UACAGAGGGUGCGAACGUUGCUCGGAAUUACUGGGCGUAAAGCGCGUGUAGGCGGAACGAUAAGUCGGAAGUGAAAUCCCCGGGCUCAACCCGGGAACUGCUUUCGAAACUGCCGUUCUCGAGUACCGGAGAGGGUGGCGGAAUUCCUGGUGUAGAGGUGAAAUUCGUAGAUAUCAGGAGGAACACCGGUGGCGAAGGCGGCCACCUGGACGGUUAUUGACGCUGAGACGCGAAAGCGUGGGGAGCAAAC